CAGAAAAGCAGAAAGCUGUUAGUGCACUCACUUUUUUUCCAAAUCCUUGCCUUGUGUUCCAAAUCCAGGGGCUCCGAAGUACAUUUCCAAUCUAAAGGAGUAGACCACGAGGAGCAGGUUUUCUUACUAAUGUUACGGCAGAAUGUACUAACUGCUAAUCACAGCCUACGCGAGUCGUACCGAUGUACCAUAAUUCCAGUGAUCCACUUGACUCCGUGGUUAAAUUAAACAAACACUGAUUUAUUUCCAAACAUGUCCAAAACUUACAUGCACGGUCAGGGAUGUUAAAACACGGUAAAACACAGUCCGACACGGUAAGAAAACCGUGUGACUCCACAGCUAGCUUCUAUGAUUCUCACUCUGAAUCUGUGGCACCAUUUUGUUUUUACAGCACAUGGCCAGCAAUAUAAACAAGGAGCGCCCUCUACAGGACAUACUAUACAUUUAUCACACAUGAUGAACCAGUCUGUUCUAGGCAUAACAAUGCAACAAAAAACAGUAAUUAAACAUUAUUAAACUCACUAAAUAUGCUUAUUCUGGUAAUAGAAUAAAAGGAAUUACAAGAUAAUUCUUGCCCCAUACAAUGGUCGUUGUGUAUCACCCCUCA